UUCCUCCCGAGGUCGGGCAGGUGCGGGAUGCAGUGCACUGUUGUCGUGUUCCCCCUCCAAUAUUGCACUUGUCCCGGCCUCCCCGGCCCCCGGGGCUAAGAA